rnacentral:rRNA from 1 species
GAUGAACGCUGGCGGCGUGCCUAAUACAUGCAAGUCGAGCGAAGCGGGGACGGGUGAGUAACACGUGGAUAACCUCCUAUAAGACUGGGAUAACUUCGGGAAACCGGAGCUAAACCGGAUACUUAUCGAUGGAUCCGCGCUGCAUUAGCUAGUUGGUAAGGUAACGGCUUACCAAGGCAACGAUGCAUAGCCGACCUGAGAGGGGGAUCGGCCACCCUGGAGCUGAGACAGGAGGCAGAAUACUACGGGAGGCAGCAGUAGGGAAUCUUCCGCAAUGGGCGAAAGCCUGACGGAGAAACGCCGCGUGAGUGAUGAAGGUCUUCGGAUCGUAAAACUCUUUUAUUAGUGAAGCGGUACCUAAUCAGAAAGCCACGGCUAACUACGUGCCAGCAGCCGCGGUAAUA